rnacentral:tRNA from 1 species
GCCCGGAUAGCUCAGCGGGUAGAGCAAAGGAUUGAAACUCCUUGCGCCUUGGUUCGAUUCCGAGUCCGGGCACCA